rnacentral:tRNA from 1 species
GCCACCGUAGCUCAGAGAGAGCAUCGGGUAGAGCAUCGGGUUUCACAACCCGGAGAUGCAGGUUCGAAUCCUGUCGGUGGAA